UGAAGAAAUCAAACUGUUUAAUAGGGGAAGGCAAAGCGAAGGGGUGAGCUGGGAGGGAAAAAAGGGGAUGGGCAGGGCCCAAGGGCUGGAGGGAGGGAGCUGCCAACAGGGAGAGAGAUGCAGGAGGUCCUGGAGCUUCCAACAGGUUCAGCUAGGACCAGCAUCAGCUGGAGCUGGAGCUGGAGCUGGUCCCCUCUGCUCUGCAGGUGGUCCCAUCUUCAGUGGGAUCUGGAGGUCGCUGAGGGACACCGGUUCUACUGAUCCAGCAGACGAAGUUGAGCAGAUCUUCUGUCAAAGGUCUGCUAGAUAAAGUUAUUAUAAACAGGCAAAAAGGAAAAUGAGGCUGGUGACUUUUAAAAAUGGUGAGCCUGUUUAUUAAAGACCUAGAGCAACUGGGGAUGAGAGCUCAGGAUAAGUCAGAGUGACAGUAACUGUGUGCUACACAGGGUGCUUCUUUGGACACAAGUUCUGCAGAAGUGCCCAGGUGCUGGGCGCCUGGGGGGUUUUAAGGUCUCUUAAAGCUGCUGGACUGGUGUGCUUUCAGUCCUCUCCCUGAUUAGUCUUUCUGCUGUGUGCUGGUGAGGUAUUGUGAUACAUUCCUGAGCAAUGAUUCUGGAAUUCUCUGAUCUUGCUGGCUCGUUCUCCAGUCACAGUCCAAAGUGCUGUCAUCACUCCACGAGGAACUCUACAAAUCUCAAUGGCCUUGAGGACCAUAAGAAUUCAGCACAAGACCAGCAUCACAAACACAACAUUUUUACUCCUGGCUAUUCCUCCUCUCCAACAGAACUGGAAGAUAAG